AAUCUCUCUAGAGAAACAACACACUAGGAUACAGAGAGACAGACAGACAGACAGAGGCAGAGACAGACAGACAGAGACAGAGGAAGAGACGCUGGCUGGAAAUCCACGUAAGAGCUGUUGCUGCAGAAUGGAGUCUGGGGUCCAUGGGGUCUGCCAGCAGUGGAAACAAAGUUCGAGUGAAAGGAUGCCGGCAUUAGCACAUUUCCUCACAUACCCUGUUUGCGGGAAUCUCCAACAAGAUGAGGACUCUGAUUCUACCUGUUGUCAUCUUGACCAUAAAUACUUGCUUAUCAAUAAGUGUAGAAUACAUGUUCUUCUGCUCCUCAUCACAAAGUACACAUGCAGCUUGUUUGAUUGAUCAAGAACUGUUUAAUUUCUGUCUAAUGGCUUCAUUUCAGCUUCUCUGGGGGUUUUCUGUCAGUCUGCGAAUGCGAAUGCCAUGUUUCAUCCUUUGUCCUGGAUAUUAAUAAUCUUUUGACUGCUAAAGGUGUGUAAACAUA